GAUGAACGCUGGCGGCGUGCCUAAUACAUGCAAGUCGAGCGAACAGACGAGGAGCUUGCUCCUCUGACGUUAGCGGCGGACGGGUGAGUAACACGUGGAUAACCUACCUAUAAGACUGGGAUAACUUCGGGAAACCGGAGCUAAUACCGGAUAAUAUAUUGAACCGCAUGGUUCAAUAGUGAAAGACGGUUUUGCUGUCACUUAUAGAUGGAUCCGCGCCGCAUUAGCUAGUUGGUAAGGUAACGGCUUACCAAGGCAACGAUGCGUAGCCGACCUGAGAGGGUGAUCGGCCACACUGGAACUGAGACACGGUCCAGACUCCUACGGGAGGCAGAGGUAGGGAAUCUUCCGCAAUGGGCGAAAGCCUGACGGAGCAACGCCGCGGGAGUGAUGAAGGUCUUCGGAUCGUAAAACUCUGUUAUUAGGGAAGAACAAAUGUGUAAGUAACUAUGCACGUCUGGACGGUACCUAAUCAGAAAGCCACGGCUAACUACGU
rnacentral:rRNA from 1 species